GAUGAACGCUGGCGGUAUGCCUAACACAUGCAAGUCGAACGGGCUUUUCGGAGCUAGUGGCGGACGGGUGAGUAACGCGUGAGAAUCUGCCUUCAGGAUGGGGAUAACAGGGAGAAAUCGCUGCUAAAACCCAAUGUGCCGAAAGGUGAAAUACUUGUAGCCAGAAGAGGAGCUCGCGUCCGAUUAGUUAGUUGGGGGGGUAAGAGCCUACCAAGGCAGCGAUCGGUAGCUGGUCUGAGAGGAUGAGCAGCCACACUGGGACUGAGACACGGCCCAGACUCCUACGGGAGGCAGCAGUGGGGAAUUUUCCGCAAUGGGCGAAAGCCUGACGGAGCAAUACCGCGUGAGGGAGGAAGGCUUUUGGGUUGUAAACCUCUUUUGUUAAGGAAGAAGAAAGUGACGGUACUUAAAGAAUAAGCAUCGGCUAACUCCGUGCCAGCAGCCGCGGUAA
rnacentral:rRNA from 1 species